rnacentral:rRNA from 1 species
GAGUUUGAUCAUGGCUCAGGACGAACGGUGGCGGCGUGCUUAACACAUGCAAGUCGAACGGUGACGGUGGAGCUUGCUCCGCCUGAUCAGUGGCGAACGGGUGAGUAACACGUGAGUAACCUGCCCCUCACUUCGGGAUAACCUCGGGAAAUCGUGGCUAAUACCGGAUACGAGACCUGGCUGCAUGGCCGGGUCUGGAAAGAUUUAUCGGUGGGGGAUGGACUCCCGGCCUAUAUCCUUGUGGGGGAGGGGCGGGGCUCACCGGGGCGACGGCGGGCGGCCUGCCAGGGAGGGCGGCCACACCGCGACUGAAAUGAGUCCGGCCCCUACCCCAGGGGAGGGGGGGAAGAUUUUCUUUGGGGUUAAGCCUUAUCUUGUUCAUCGCCGACGCCGUGUGAGGGAUGAAGGCCUUCGGGUUGUAAACCUCUUUCACCCCCGGAAGAAGCGAAAGUGACGGUACCUGCAGAAGAAGCGCCGGCUAACUACGUGCCAGCAGCCGCGGUAAUACGUAGGGCGCAAGCGUUAUCCGGAAUUAUUGGGCGUAAAGAGCUCGUAGGCGGUUUGUCGCGUCUGCUCUGAAAUCCCGAGGCUCAACCUCGGGCCUGCAGUGGGUACGGGCAGACUAGAGUGCGGUAGGGAGAUUUGGAAUUCCUGGUGUACGGUGGAAUGCGCAAUAUCAGGAGGAACACCGAUGGCGAAGGCAGAUCUCUGGGCCGUACUGACGCUGAGGAGCGAAAGGUGGGAAGCAAACAGGGCUUAGAUACCCUGGUAGUCCACCCGUAAACGUUGGGAACUAGUUGUGGGGUCAUUCCACGGAUUCCCGUGACGCAGCUAACGCAUUAAGUUCCCCGCCUGGGGAGUACGGCCGCAAGGCUAAAACUCAAAGGAAUUGACGGGGACCCGCACAAGCGGCGGAGCAUGCGGAUUAAUUCGAUGCAACGCGAAGAACCUUACCAAGGCUUGACAUGUACGAGAACGGGCCAGAAAUGGUCAACUCUUUGGACACUCGUAAACAGGUGGUGCAUGGUUGUCGUCAGCUCGUGUCGUGAGAUGUUGGGUUAAGUCCCGCAACGAGCGCAACCCUCGUUCUAUGUUGCCAGCACGUAAUGGUGGGAACUCAUGGGAUACUGCCGGGGUCAACUCGGAGGAAGGUGGGGAUGACGUCAAAUCAUCAUGCCCCUUAUGUCUUGGGCUUCACGCAUGCUACAAUGGCCGGUACAAAGGGCUGCAAUACCGUAAGGUGGAGCGAAUCCCAAAAAGCCGGUCCCAGUUCGGAUUGAGGUCUGCAACUCGACCUCAUGAAGUCGGAGUCGCUAGUAAUCGCAGAUCAGCAACGCUGCGGUGAAUACGUUCCCGGGUCUUGUACACACCGCCCGUCAAGUCAUGAAAGUCGGUAACACCUGAAGCCGGUGGCCUAACCCUUGUGGAGGGAGCCGUCGAAGGUGGGAUCGGUAAUUAGGACUAAGUCGUAACAAGGUAACCGUAGCGG